CUACUUACCCAAUAGGGUAGACGCUAGGCUCACUAACGUGGUCUUCCUGAGAUAAGGCUCACGGUUUGCAUUUCAGGUGUGCUGGCUCUUAUGAUUUCCCUGAACGUGGAGAAGUUGACCGCAUACUUUGUGGUAGCGGAGGACUGUCUUUACACCUUUA
rnacentral:snRNA from 1 species